GGUAAGUGGCUGGAGCAGUUUAACUAACAAGACUCAACUGGACAUUGACCUGUGGCAGAUGACUACAUAACAAGUCAUCCUACUCAGAUACAUACUAGAAGUCAUGUUGGAUUUUUGUAAUAUGACUGGGUGAUUUCUAAUGCAACGUAUGUCAAUCAUUAUAAAGCAGCCUCCAAUAGAGAUAAUAGACAAUGUAGGAAUGAAGGAUGCAGUAGAUUAUUAGUACACCACUCACUGUUAUUAUUCAUUUGGGAGACUUGCUGAUAGUUCAACUUUAUAUAAAUAUUACCACAAUAAACCCCUCACAAUAGACUUUUUGUGUUCCAUCAUGACAGAGUUCACCUGAGUGUGUCUUGGCAUUUUUUUAAACCUGAUGAAACACUCUGUCAUCACAGUUGCUCCACAGAUCCUGUCCUCGUCCAACUGCACCAAAGCUGCAGCCACAGUCAGCUGUUCCUGUUCCACUGUGGGAAACCCUUCUCCCAGAUUACAGUGGUAUUUGGACGGACUAUCUGUGACUCACUCGGACAAGGUAGACAUCAGCAGUGAGUCUCUGAACGGCACAGGUCUAAGGAGCACCAUCACCGUAAACCUCCCACAGGAGUUGGAUCUGUCCACUCUGUUCUGCCACAGCAGCAACUCUGUGGGUUCCACCGUUCGCCAGCUCAAUGUCAACUCUUUUGAGCAACAAACCUAUUCAAGGUUUGGUCAAGGUCUUUUUCCAGUCAUUUUGGCUGUUGCUGUUGUAUCUCUCAGUAUGAAUGUCUUCUACACAAUCUACAUGAUUUCUCUUCGCAGGAAAUCAAAACAGAAUGUGAUGCCGAGUGAAGAGGACACGACGUACAUGUCAUUAGACAGAAGAGACGUGUCUCCUGAAUAUGGGGUCAUUGGACAACUUCCAACAUGAGUAGAGGAUGUAUGUGUUUGUCAUUCUAAACUGGGCUCCAAAACACAAAUAUUCCACGGUUUCCCACAGCAGAUGGGACAAAUACUUAAUUCAGUGUAAAUACAUAUUAUUUCAUAAGAUUGCUGUUUUUUCAUUCUAUUAGUACUGGUGUUUUUUCAGGUCUAUACUUAUUUUUAUUUUGGCUGUACUUUUGUUUUCAGUGUUCUGCUCUUUUAGUUUUAUACAUCAUUAUUAUGUCAAAUGCUUGUACCUUCACACACAUAAUAUAUCAUAUAAGACAAUAUACAGUAUAUACAGCUCUGGAAAAAAUUCAGACACCACUGCAAUUUCCUGUGAAAUCAGCAUGUGUGCAUGUAUGACAGCCAUUCCAUUCCUGUGUGUGUUGAAUUCCAACACAAUCACACCUUAUUCUGCUGAAUAAACACCUGAUCCAUGUCUUAUUUAAGAAGGAGAAGUAUAAAAACCACUACUGGGGCCAUCACUAUCUUCUUACAAUAGAUAAAAACAGUGCUAUUAGUACCACAAAAGUAACAGGAAUCCAAAAAUAACUAUUGAAAACUACUGGACUUCUGCUCUGACAGUGUUCCCAAACUCUGAGGACUGGUUUUUCUAUCAGGACAAUGCUCCUGGCCUCAGCUAGGUCAGUAAAGGUGUGGAUGACGGACCACCAGAUGCAGACCCUGUCAUGGCCAGCCCAAUCUCCAGACCUGAACCCACUUUGAAAACUUCUGGAGGAAGAUGGAUGGACACAAACCAUGGAACAUGUCUGAGCUUCUUGAAUUUCUGUGCCAGGAGCUGCAUAAAGUCAUCCAACAGCAAUGGAGGAGAGACAAGACACGUGAAAGCUGUCAUUGAAAAUCAGGGUUGUUCCACCAAAUAUUGAUGUGUGAACUUUUCCCAAGUUACAACAUUAGUAUUGUGUUGUUUACAAAUUAAUAUGAACUGGUUUUCUUUGCAUUAUCUGAGGUCUGAAAACACUGCAUCUUUUUAUUUUGAAAUUUGUCAUGUUCUGCAAAUACAUGCUCUAAAUAACAAUAUUUUUAUUUGGAAUUUGGGAGAAAUGCUGUCAGUAGUUUAGAGAAUAAAACAAAAAUGUUCAUUUUACUCAAACACUUACCUAUAAAUGGUAAAAUCAGAGAAAGUGAUAAUUUUAUAGUGGUCUCUUAUUUUUUUCCAGAGCUGUACGUCUUGAAAUGAAGCCUGCGUUUUUCCUCCUUAAUUUUCUUCAUUUUAAAUAAUGCCCUUUUAUUGUAAAAGCUGAAUUUUUAAUAUAUGCAUGUAACAAAUAUUGAUAUAAAAGUUCCUUUUUCUUCAUCAGUCUUUGUCCUUCAUUCAUUUUUGCAGACAUUUCUAUUACUUUUACACCUAAAGUAACAAAUUCACCAUUUCAUGAUUUUCAUCUAAUUUUUAGUGAUCAAUUCUUUUUAAUACUCUGUUUUUAUUUUCAAUCAGUUGAAUGGGUUGCACUUUAAAAAACAGUUCAGUAAUACUAAACAAUGGAUUGGAAAAAUAAAUACUCUGAUGUGC
rnacentral:lncRNA from 1 species